rnacentral:tRNA from 1 species
GCUUUAAUAAUUUAAAAAAAAAUAGUGGUCUUGUAAAUCACAAUUAAGGAAUUUUCCUUUUAAAGUU